UACGUAGGGUGCAAGCGUUAAUCGGAAUUACUGGGCGUAAAGCGUGCGCAGGCGGUUCUAUAAGACAGAUGUGAAAUCCCCGGGCUCAACCUGGGAACUGCAUUUGUGACUGUAGAGCUGGAGUACGGCAGAGGGGGAUGGAAUUCCGCGUGUAGCAGUGAAAUGCGUAGAUAUGCGGAGGAACACCGAUGGCGAAGGCAGGUCUCUGGGCUGAUACUGACGCUCAUGCACGAAAGCGUGGGGAGCAAACAGG
rnacentral:rRNA from 1 species